GGAAACUACCUUCUUUGAAUACAGUUAAAAUGAGCUCUUGUUAGAGCUAAGCAUUUUAAAUAUUCCGCCGAGCUCAAGCUCGCUGUUGGCAACCUUGAGGGUGAGGCAGUAUCUUCCUCUGGGAUCAGGAGCCGCUGCCGUACGUUUGACUGUGAAACAGCGGGUCCCCAAAUUCAGCGUUUCUCUGCUGUGACCAAGCCCGGAGCUCAUGCAGUGUCCAUCUGGCUACCACACACAGGCCCAGUGGAAGUUGGGAAACAGAGCGCAUGCUGAUGGUCAUGCUGUUUCCCGUGUGGGAAAAUCCAUCUAGCCAAUUUUAAACUACCAUGAAAGUCGUAUGGCGCUCUCCCAAGAAUUUGGCUGGAUGGCAAGGCUUGAAGUAGUGUCUUCGGAAAUCGUGGCUUCUUUCCUGAUACAACAUCUGUGUGUUGCUCUUCACCUUAACCAAGAAGCAGGGAACAAUUCUCUGAACAUAUUAAGUGAUGCUAACUUCAGAGUUCGCAAAAUAAAAAUAAACAAAAAUAAGGAGCAGAACUCUUUCCAAUGCCCUAAUUUUCAGAAGGCAACUCAUUUAAAAUUUCAAACAAGGAAAAGCAAGCUGAAAACAUCCCAAUUGUUGCACCUGACUUUUUCUAAUCAUUGCUUCUCGUUUUGAGGUUGUGUUUUUUAAUUAAUAGGCUAUUUUGG